UCCUGGGCUCAGGAUGAACGCUAGCUACAGGCUUAACACAUGCAAGUCGAAGGGCAGCGGGAUUGAAGCUUGCUUCAAUUGCCGGCGACCGGCGCACGGGUGAGUAACGCGUAUCCAACCUUCCGUACACUCAGGGAUAGCCUUUCGAAAGAAAGAUUAAUACCUGAUGGUAUGAUGAGAUCGCAUGGUAUCAUCAUUAAAGAUUUAUCGGUGUACGAUGGGGAUGCGUUCCAUUAGGUAGUAGGCGGGGUAACGGCCCACCAAGGCGACGAUCAGUAGGGGUUCUGAGAGGAAGGUCCCCCACAUUGGAACUGAGACACGGUCCAAACUCCUACGGGAGGCAGCAGUGAGGAAUAUUGGUCAAUGGACGAGAGUCUGAACCAGCCAAGUAGCGUGCAGGAUGACGGCCCUAUGGGUUGUAAACUGCUUUUAUAAGGGAAUAAAGUGGGAGUCGUGACUCUUUUUGCAUGUACCUUAUGAAUAAGGACCGGCUAAUUCCGUG
rnacentral:rRNA from 1 species